rnacentral:rRNA from 1 species
GACGUAGGGGGCCAGCGUUGUUCGGAAUUACUGGGUGUAAAGGGUGCGUAGGUGGCGCUGUAAGUCGGGUGUGAAAUUUCGGAGCUUAACUCCGAAACUGCAUUCGAUACUGCGGUGCUUGAGGGCUGGAGAGGAGACUGGAAUUUAUGGUGUAGCAGUGAAAUGCGUAGAGAUCAUAAGGAAGACCAGUGGCGAAGGCGGGUCUCUGGACAGUUCCUGACACUGAGGCACGAAGGCCAGGGGAGCAAACGGG